rnacentral:lncRNA from 1 species
CGAAACACACACAAAAAAAGAGUUAAAGUUCAUGUUUCCUCACUAAGUACUCUCUUAUUUUUGGUUCCCUUUCUCUUCUAUGCUUUGAGUGUGAUUGUUGUAUUGGUCUUGAGUUUGGAUCCCUAAACGGCUAUUGAACACCUCUCGCGUGGUUUGCUUCCCUGUAGAAGGUCAGUGCCUACUGACCCCCCUCUUUUGCUUUGAAUUAGUCAUAUGGUUUUGUGCUCAUGAAAGUUUCUUAACUGAUUUUCUAUCGUUUAUGUUAUCUAUUGAUGGUAUGAAAUUGUGUUUGCUAUGAAUAAUAUUUAUAUGACAUUUCCACAAUUCACUUAGGUAUUUCCUGAUUGAAAUAUGUUAUACUGAUAUUGUUAUUGAAUUUAUGCAAUUGGACCUUAUUACCUCUAGAUAAGAGGAGUUGCUCUGAUGGUAAGUAACCUUCACUUCUUAUCGAGAGGUUGUGAGUUCGAGUCUUCCCAAAAGCAAGGUAGGAAAUGCUUGGAGGGAAGGAUGCCGAUGGUCUAUUUAGAAACAGCUUCCCUACCCAAGGAUAGGGUCAAGGUCUGCAUACGCACUACCCUCCACAAACCCCACUAAGUGGGAUUAUACUAGAUUGUUGUUAUUAUUGUUGUUGUUGGACCUUAUUACCUCUAUUAGUUGAACAAUAAUAUAAGGUAAACUGAUAUCAUUCUAUUAAACUCCUCUUUAUGUUCUAUACCUCUAGAUUAUUUGACCCUCUUAAGUGGAUUCCCUGUAUUUCAUGUCUUGUAUUCAACUUGUCUACUUUACAUAAUGAUUUGACCGUUCAUUUUGUGUAAUUGUGCCCCGUUCCCUUUAUGAUGCUUCACACAUGUUUAUUUGUAGUUUUAUGACUUAGGGGGUGGUUGGUUUAAUUCCAGGAAGUUUUUGGGUUGAUUUGAACCCUUUGGUUCGUAGCUUAGAAGCCUAAGUUGAUUAUGUUGACAAAUUUUUGACUUUUGUGAAAAUAAUCCGGAAUGAUGUUUUGAUGGAUGUAAUAGCUCCAUAUAGUGAUAUUGGACUUGAGCAUGGUCCCGGAAUCGAAUUCGGAGAUCCAAAGGUUGAUUUGUGUCGUUUUGUCGUAUAUUGGCAACUUGAGAUUUAAAAGUUUGACCGUAGGUUGAAUUUUUGCUAUCCGGUUCAGAAUUUGGUUUUGGGAUUUGAAAUAGGUCUAUUAUGUUAUUUAGAACUUUUUUGCCAAAUUUAGUGUCGUUUGGAGUUGAUUUGAUAGUAUUCAAAUGCUUUUGCAAUUCUAUAAGUUCUUGAACUUUUCUUUGAAAUUCAUGUAUUUUGAUGUCUGAUUUGUAGUUUUUGAUGUUAUUUUUGUGUUUUAGUUGUUCAAACAUGUUUGUAUGAUAUUUUUAGACUUGUGUAAGUAUUUGGUUUGGAGCCCGAGGGCUCAGAUGAGUUUCAGGUGUGUUUUUUAAAGGUUUGGACUGAAACUAGAAUUGUUGGUGUAUUGGUGCUCUGAUGUCGCAACUGCCAGCACGAGCCUCACAUUUGCGAAGUGGUCAGGGGUGAAUAGAUGUGGCAAAUGUGACUUUCCCAUUCACAUCUAUGAAAGUUGUUCAGGCCUAGGUUGGUUUGCAUUUGUAACUUAGUGGUCACUUUUGCGAUGGGAGUUAGCUUCACAAUUGCGAAACCUUCUCGCAAUUACAAUUUAUUUUGAGGCUAUCAGGGUUUGCAUUGUGAUCCGUGUUUUGCAAUUGUUAGGGUUUGCAUUGUGAUCCGUGUUUUGCAAUUGUUAGGGUUCACAUAUGCGAUCUCAAGGUCGCAUUUGCGACAUCUGCAGCUGAUCAAAAAGGCUGAGAGUCGGGAUUUUUCAUCAUAUUUUCUCAUUUCAGAACCCUAAACUCGAUAUGAGAUGAUUUGGAUAGGCGAGUUUCCAUCUACAAAUAAUAUGUAAGUAUUUCUAAUCAAUUUACAACUAUAAUUUAUGAUUAUAUCUUAUAUUUAGCAUCAAAUUUAUGAGAAUCAAAGAGUAAAAUAGGGAGUUUUUGUCAAAGCUUUGAAAAAUAAAGAUUUGUGUUUUGAGAAUCAAUUUGGACUCGGAUUUGAAAACAGAACACAUAUAUUGACUCGUGGGAUUGUGGGUAGUCAGAACCUACCCUUGGACCAGAGUUUUGAUCAGGCGGGCACAGGGUUAACUUUUUAAAAAUUUUGCAAAGAUAAGAGCUUUAUCUACUAUAAUUGGUUUCUCUCGCAUUGUUCGAUGUUAUUAUGUCAUUUUUUAGAUUUGAGCUAUGUAGAGAUGAAUUUUAGGGGUAAAUCUAUAAUCGAGGGUUGAUUUUACCUAGUUGAGGUAAGUAUCUUGCCUAACUUUUUAUGAGGAAAUUACCCUUUAGGAUUUGGGUUGAAUGUGGUAUUUGUGUUAUGUGGAAGACGUGUACGCGAGGUGAUGAGUGCUUGCAUGGGCUAUAUGUGGUAUCUGACUAGUUUAGGUUAUUUAGACUCUUUUCAUGCCUUUAAUUGAAUUGUCAUAGAAUGUUAUAUCUUUCAUUAUAAAUUUACUCUUAUAUGUGUUAACCUACUCUUAGCACUUGUUCCGGCUUGAUAGAUAAUUUGAUAAGCCAAUGAUUUUUUUCGUGUUUCAGAAUACGGUUAACCAACAUGUUAACUAAUCGAUUACGAUAAAUUGAUCGGAUUUUGCUGCCACUUCUUACUUUUUAUGUUUUCUCUCACAUGCUUUAAUUGAAGUUGUUAUCUUCCUUAUUAACUUGUUACAUCUUUAAUUUGCAUUAGUUUUACUUGAAAUCGUUAUCUCACGGGAAUUGUCUUCUUGUUGGGUUGUUGACAUUGAAGUGGUGAAAGAUAUUAUCAUAUUGGAGGUUAAAGUUGUUGAUUUUGAAAUAUCUUUCCUUGUUUAGUAUUUUCUCAUUCAUUAUGCUUUACUGAGAAUGUUGCAUACAUCGUGGUUAAGCCAUGGUCUAUUUAUUGUGGAAACAUUGGUAGUGUUGAUUUUGGCAAGUUCUGGUAUAUGGGCACUUGUGCUGCAAGUUGUUAUUCUGUAAUAAUAUUGAUACACAUGCGGUGGUAUAAAGAUAGGGGUUGAUACGCAUGUAGUGAGAUAAUGUGGGCUUGAUACGCGUGUUACUAGUAAGAGAGUUACAUGAAGCCACGCGGUGCGAUAAGUUGGGCUAAAAUGCAUGUAGUUAUUUUGGGAAAAUGAGCUUUAAAACUAAAUGUAAGGCAUACACAGUGAUAUAACGAAAUACUAUAAUUGAAAUUGUGAGAUGUAAAUACGAGGUGGUACCUCGAUUGUGAUUCUUGUUGUAGAUUCCAUGUUGAAAAGGCUUGUUGGUUGAACAAUUCUUGUUAUUUCUUCAUUGUUUUACUUGUAAUUAACCGUAUUUGCCUUCUUGUUAUUUCAUCAUGUGUUUACCACUAGUUGCCUUUACUACUUAAAUCUCUGUAGUCAUCUUAAAUUAUUGAAUUGUUUACUUGUCAUUUACGUCCUUGUUUCCCAUAUUUGGACUUUGCUAUACUCUAUUUAGUUUCUUUUAUCCUAGUAGGUGUUUUGACCAUGCCUUGUCACUAUCCUUCCAAGGUAAGGCUUGAUAUUUACUGGUAUCAUUGAGAUGUACUCAUACUAUGUUUUUGCAUAUUUUUGUGCAGUUCUAUGUGCAUUUGUUAUUGCUUCACGCUAAUUAUUGAUUAGCUUUUGAUGGAUACUUCAAAGUUCACUUGCUCGACAUUCGUAUGCCUUAGAGUUACCUUCUACUAUGUCUUAUAAUUGUUUAUCCUUUAUUUAGACAUUGAUGUAUGCUGAGAUUUUAGUACCUUUUUGUAUAUCAUAUGACUCAAUCUCACUGCGUUUUGGGAAAUAUUGUAUUAUGCCUCAAUUUUGAGAUUCUUAUGAAACUUAUCAGUUUA